UAUAAUAAAUCUUUGCAGAGACAGAAAAAUGAAGUAAUACAUCUAUCUAUCUAUAUCUUUAGUAUGAAAGUCAAGCAAGAUCUGCUUCCAAAGUGUUCAUCGAAAACAGUGAAAUAGAUAGAGAGCCCUUUUUUCCUUGAACUCCUUCCUUCCUUCACGAGAUCCAAUCUCUCAAGCUCAAACCCACGGGUAAAUCACCUUUCUUUUUAAUUUAAAUAUUAUUAUACAAACUACUUUAUGCUUCCUCCCUCUCCUUCCUCAUCAUCAAGGUUCAAAAUCAAAACCCUACCCACCCACGACCCAGCCCUCAAAUUAUCUCUUUUUCUCUCCUCCAUCCCUCUCCUCUCUCUAGCUAAUAGCUAUCAUCAUCAAGUCAACAGAUACUUGCACCGCUGCCGCCUAGGGUUUCUGGAGUAGGAAGAGGUGGAAUGAUGGCAUCAUCAUCGUCGUCGUCGAAUUCGCCAUGCGCGGCGUGCAAAUUCCUGCGACGCAAGUGCCAGCCAGAGUGUGUAUUUGCACCCUACUUCCCACCGGACCAGCCGCAGAAGUUUGCAAACGUUCACAAAGUGUUCGGGGCAAGCAACGUCACCAAAUUGCUUAACGAGUUGCACCCCCACCAGCGUGAGGACGCCGUCAACUCUCUUGCCUACGAGGCUGACAUGCGCCUCCGCGAUCCCGUCUACGGCUGCGUUGGAGUCAUCUCUCUCCUCCAACACCAACUCCGCCAGCUUCAGAUGGAUCUUACCUGUGCCAAAUCCGAACUCUCCAAAUAUCAGAACCUGCAGCACGGCCUCACUGCCAGCCACGGUCUCAUAGCCGCCGCCGCCGCUGCUGCCGCUGCCCACACCCACCACCCUCUUCAUUUACAGUCCUCCUCCUCCACCUUACACAACAACAACAACAACUUGGGGAUGGGAAUCAAUCUCAUUUCAGGCGGCGGCGGAGGCCGAGAUCACUACCCCCACCAGUUUUUCCCUAGAGAUCGAGACCAUCAACAUCAGCAACAGAUGAUGAUCAGGAGUUUUGAUGCCGGAAACAACUACGAUGCAAGCCUUUUAGCCAUGAACGUCUCCGCCGCCGCGGGUGGCAUUCAUGGCCAACUCACUCAUCAGUUCCAGCAACCUAGGGCUGCUGCUGGCGACGAUCGCCGAACCAUUGAUCCCUCUUAAUUAGGAUUUCCUCCAUCAUUUCCUUACUUUCAACAACUUGCAUCGAAUUAAUUAAGGUAUCAAAUCUCAAGGAACAAUUGGAGAGAUUUCAAGAGCCAAAAGAGACAGUGAUGUGUGUGUGUGUGUGUGUGUGAGAGAGAGAGAGAGAGAGAGAGAGAGGGUUUACAGUUUAUUCUGAUUAGUUAUAUAUCUAGUUAAUUUAUGUCUCUUUGAAUUAGUUUCACACAUAUCUCAACUACAUAUCUUUUCAUGCACAAUAUUGCGAUCCUUCCUCUUCCAAGGAGAAAAAAUAAAAAUAAAAAAGAGAAAAGAAUUUUUCCCACAAAACUGUGCUUGAUCUUGCAGUACUCUCACAGUAACACCACCAGUAAGUCGGAUUUGUCUUCUUAGG